GCAAUCUCGGAGUUGAGUCUAAGCAGACAUUCUGGGGGAUACGCGAGGUGACUAUUCGGGCUGAGUAGGCAGCACGUAGGGUAGGUAUCGAUAAGGCCUUUUAUCGAUAGACGGGAUACUAUUGUCGCGUUGCGACAAGUGAAUGGGAAACCCAACA
rfam:Vibrio nereis strain DSM 19584 contig0007, whole genome shotgun sequence.